CACGUAUUUAGCCGUCGCUUCUUCUGUUGGUACCGUCACGUUCUUCGUCCCAACUGAAAGCACUUUACAUUCCGAAAAACUUCAUCGUGCACACAGAAUUGCUGGAUCAGACUUUUGGUCCAUUGUCCAAUAUUCCCCACUGCUGCCUCCCGUAGGAGUAAGGGCCGUGUCUCAGUCCCCUUGUGGCCGUUCACCCGUCUCAGGCCGGCUACCUAUCACUGCCUUGGUGGGCCGUUACCUCACCAACUAGCUAAUAGGACGCAAAGCUCUCUUGCAGCGCAUAUAGCUUUCAUACUAAGACCAUGCGGUCAAAGCAUAAUACCCGGUAUUAGCAUCCGUUUCCAGAUGUUGUCCCAAACUGCAAGGCAAGUUCUUUACGCGUUACUCACCCGUCCGCCACCGUCCGUUAGCCGAAGCUAACUUCGAGUAGACUUGCAUGUGUUAAGCAUUCUGUCAGCGUUCAUCCUGAGCCAGGAUCAAACUC
rnacentral:rRNA from 1 species